GCCAGGCACAGUGGCAUGUGCCUGUAGUCCCAGCUACUUGGGAGGCUGAGGUGCGAGGAUUGCUUGAGCCCCCGACUUCUGGGCUGCAGUGCGCUAUGCCAGUCAGGUGUUAGUGCUAAGUUUGGCAUCAAUAUGGUGACCUCCAGGGAGUAGGGAGCCACCAGGUUGCCUAAGGAGGGGUGAACUGGCCCAGGUCAGAAACUGACCAGGUCAGAACUCCUGUGCUGAUCAGUGGUGGGAUCAUGCCUGUGAAUAGCCACUGCACUACAGCCUGGGCAACAUAGUGAGAACUUGUAAUU
ensembl:misc_RNA Metazoa_SRP Metazoan signal recognition particle RNA